GUGCUCACUUCGGCAGCACAUAUAGUAGUAAAAUUGGAACGAUACAGAGAAACUUAGCAUGGCCUCUGCAUAAGGAUGACGCUCAAAUUCAUGAAAAAGUAUGCUAAACCCGUUUCU
rnacentral:snRNA from 1 species